CCCAGACUUUAUGGACCGACCACCCAGCUACAGUUGAUGGAGGGAGAUUUACAACCAACCUCUGGGGACUCUGAUGCCCUCCUAUGGCCUCUGAGAAGGCAUGGAUGGCUCUCUGCUCCUCUCUAUUCCAGAAACAUCCAUGACUUCUCAUGAAGUACCAGCCUCAUGCUUGACACACAAUGAUGAAGGUUGGAAUGAAUAGAUUUGACUGAAUUGGGCACCUGAUUACCAGGGCUUCCUUCAACUCUGGAAAAGUGGACAUUGUUGCCAUCACUUACCCCUUCAUUGACCUCAAUUACAUGGUCUAUAUGUUCUAGUGUAACUCUACUCACAGUCAAGCUCAAUGGCACAAUCAAGGCUGAGAAUGGGAAGCUUGUCAUCAAUGGGAAGGCCAUCACCAUCUUCCAGGAGUAAGAUACCACAGACAUCAAAUGGUGUGAUGCUGGUGCCCAGGAUGUUGUGAAGUCUGGUGUCUUCACCACCGUGGAGAAGGCUGGGGCCCACUUGAAGGGUAGGGCAUAAAGGAUCAACAUCUCUGCCCCUACUGCUGAUUCCCCCAUGCUUGUGAUGGGUGUGAACCAUGGGAAGUGUCACAAUUCACUUAAGAUUGUCAACAAUGUUCCCUGUACUACCAACUGCUUAGCCCCC
rnacentral:lncRNA from 1 species